ACCUCGGUGGUGUAGUGAUCAAGAAGCUCGCCUGCUAAUCAAGAGGGCGUGGGUUCAAUCCCAACCGAGGUG
rnacentral:tRNA from 1 species